UAAGUUUAAGUUUGCUAGCUGGAGGGUUUCAUCCAAUUCCUUGAAUUCGGCCAUUUUUCUCUGCCAUGCAGCUGGGGAUGGGAUUCCUUCUUUCCCUAAUCUGACGGCAGCGUCGUAUAUCCGUUCAUGAUCCCGUGUAGUGUCUCCCAUCACUACACUGACGGGAACGGAUCCGAGAAGGGGAGGAUCUGCUUCUAGCUGCUUUUUCUGCCCCAGUUCCCGGCAGCUAUUGGCAACUUCACCGCACUCCGCCUCAGCUGUUUCUUUGAACUUUGCAGUUUCUGCUUCCGAGUAAAGGCCUUCCCUAUCUUCUGGAUCCAGGACCAUGUCUUGAUAGAGCCCGUGGUGUUUUCUUGAUCACCCUCGACAAAUACCAGCCCCACAAUAUCGUGAAGUUCGCCCUUGAACUGUUUCAAAUGAAGAAAUUCCCGCGCAAUAAUACCGCCGUAUGCAUGACAAACAAUGAUGUACGGUGGUUUGAUAUCAGCCGCGCCCAGCAGGACGUCAAGCUCGAGAGAAAUGUUUUCAGCGGUUGGAGCAGUGGGGUUUGGCAUUUCUUCUGAGUCACCG
rnacentral:sRNA from 1 species